rnacentral:rRNA from 1 species
AGGCCUAGCACAUGCAAGUCGAGCGGUAGCACAAGGGAGCUUGCUCCCUGGGUGACGAGCGGCGGACGGGUGAGUAAUGUCUGGGGAUCUGCCUGAUGGAGGGGGAUAACUACUGGAAACGGUAGCUAAUACCGCAUAACGUCGCAAGACCAGAGUGGGGGACCUUAGGGCCUCAUGCCAUCGGAUGAACCCAGAUGGGAUUAGCUAGUAGGUGGGGUAAUGGCUCACCUAGGCGACGAUCCCUAGCUGGUCUGAGAGGAUGACCAGCCACACUGGAACUGAGACACGGUCCAGACUCCUACGGGAGGCAGCAGUGGGGAAUAUUGCACAAUGGGCGCAAGCCUGAUGCAGCCAUGCCGCGUGUGUGAAGAAGGCCUUAGGGUUGUAAAGCACUUUCAGCGAGGAGGAAGGAUGAAGUGUUAAUAGCACUUGAUAUUGACGUUACUCGCAGAAGAAGCACCGGCUAACUCCGUGCCAGCAGCCGCGGUAAUACGGAGGGUGCAAGCGUUACCCGCACAAGCGGUGGAGCAUGUGGUUUAAUUCGAUGCAACGCGAAGAACCCUACCUACUCUUGACAUCCAGAGAAUUAGCCAGAGAUGGCUGAGUGCCUUCGGGAGCUCUGAGACAGGUGCUGCAUGGCUGUCGUCAGCUCGUGUUGUGAAAUGUUGGGUUAAGUCCCGCAACGAGCGCAACCCUUAUCCUUUGUUGCCAGCGAUUCGGUCGGGAACUCAAAGGAGACUGCCGGUGAUAGACCGGAGGAAGGUGGGGAUGACGUCAAGUCAUCAUGGCCCUUACGAGUAGGGCUACACACGUGCUACAAUGGCGUAUACAAAGAGAAGCGAGCCUGCGAGGGGAAGCGGACCUCAUAAAGUACGUCGUAGUCCGGAUUGGAGUCUGCAACUCGACUCCAUGAAGUCGGAAUCGCUAGUAAUCGUAGAUCAGAAUGCUACGGUGAAUACGUUCCCGGGCCUUGUACACACCGCCCGUCACANCCAUGGGAGUGGGUUGCAAAAGAAGUAGGUAGCUUAACCUUCGGGAGGGCGCUUACCACUUUGUGGUUCAUG